GUUUCUAACAAUAGCUAGGAGGCAACCUCAUGGUGUAAUGAACUUCAUAGUUGGACAGAAUGUGUUCAAAUCCCAUCUCCUCACCCAAGUUCUGAGAACUCUGCAAGACAGUUAAAUCUCUCUGAGCCUCAGUUUCUUCGUUUGUAAAAAAAAAGGGACAUUCAUGUUUUGACUGUUCUUGAACAACUCUGGAAACCUGUGAAGUAUACACUGGCUGACCAGUAAGUGCAAAUUGUAUGUAAGGAGGUUCUAAGAAGGUGAAUCACCCACCUCCCAGUGCCCACAUCUCCACCCAGUUCUGUUGUUCUCUGCUGAAACUCAAAUAUAGAGCUUAAAUAUCAUCUUAUUGUGAAAUAUAGCAUAUAUACAGAAAGAUAGAUAAAGAAAAAUGUACAGCAGAAAUAGAAUGUAGAGGGCAGUGAUUUGUCACAAAGAAGCACCUGUGAGAUCAAUAUCCAGGUGGAAGUCUAGGUCAGGGGUCAGCAAACUUUUUCUCUAGAGAACAGAAGAGUAAAUAUUUUACUUAGCUAUUUGGUCCCUUCAGCAACUACCUAACUCUGCUAUGUUAGUCUAUUCAGGCAGCUGUAACAAAAUACCAUAAACUGUGUGGCCUAUAAACAAUAAAACUAUACUUCUUACAGUUCUGGAGGCUGGGAAGUCCAAGAUCAAAGUGCCAGCUGACUCAGAUUCCAUGUCUGUGAGAAGAGUGCCAACUGUUGCACCUCUACUCCAGAGCUACACAGGACUUGGUAUUACCAGACUUCUGUAGCUUAUCCAUUCUGCCCAAAAUGUCAUCUUCUCAUAAAAUCUUGGUGGAGGUGCACCCCAGGGAUGAUUUGGCCUCAGUCAAGAGCUAAUUUUGCAGUGAGCCAAGAUCGCACCACUGCACUCCAGCCUAGGCGACUGAACAAGA
rnacentral:lncRNA from 1 species